rfam:Dipodomys ordii contig_70716, whole genome shotgun sequence.
GGUGGCUCAAUGGUAGAGCGCUUGCCUUGCAUGCAUGAGACCCUGGGUUCGAUUUCUCCGCACCA